GCUCCGGUGGCCUAGUGGUUAGACCGUCUGCAUCAUAUGCAGGAGGUUGUGGGUUCGAUCCCUGGCCAGGUCA